CCAUUUUUUCUCAGCCGCAAGUGCUCCUGCUCUCCACCAUCGCUUCUACCUCUGCCCUAACAUUUUGCCGCUUCCACCAUCGUUUCCCCUAUCGCUCUUCGUUUCAGCCAUCCCUCUGCCCUUCGCCUCUCCUGCCACGCAUCCACCCAUCAUCUUGCCAAUCGCAAGACUAAUCUGAGUGCUCUCUCCUUACCCCUGCCUAAUUUUCUCGAAUUGGGUUCUUCAGUCUUGAAGCCCAGCAAUGGCUCAGAACCUACAGUUGGAAAGACCCUUGUUAAGGACGGAGGUCUAUUUUUUUAUAGAAACUUGGUACUGGAUUGGUGUAUGAGCAGCAUGUUCAAUCUUCUUUUUAUUGAAGUAUUGACAUUUUUAGAGCCUCUAGGAGAUAAUAAAGCUGUUAUUCUUGAGGAUGAUGAGCAAAACAAGGAUAGACGGCAAGUUGCAUCACAUCCUGGAGUUGAUGGAUUCAAAUAAGCUGUGGUGUGAUUGUUCUCAACAAGACCACAAUUUUGGUUUGUUCAAGAAGCGAUGGACCAUUUUGAGAGAUGUAUCGUUUUUUUGAUGUUAAGACUCAUGUCAUGAUAAUUAAUGUCAUGAUAAUUAGUGCUCAGCAAGUUGUGAGAAUAUAUGAUCUUCAGCAUUCUUUGCAAAAGGUCGAAGAAGCUCUCUUGCAGGGACUAGAGCAACUUCACUUGUGCAACCAUGUACAAUCUGUUUAUGCAUGUGGAUUUGUGUAUGUUUGGCAGCACACCUUUCCACUGAUAAUUUUCUCUUUAAAAAUCAACGAAUUGCACAAGAUGAGAUAUUUAUGGUUUGUUGGUAACAAGUGAUGCAGGUUUUUGUUCAAAACUGUUCUUGAAGUUUUGGGUCAAACGUGUCUGCAUGAAAAGGCAUGUUAAUGUGGUCUUGUUAAGAGAUACUUUAGACUUCAUAGUUUCUUGUUUUUAUUUUGUGAAUAGUUACUUUCUUGUUCAUCAUUGUCCAGAAACUUUACUUACAUACACAACGAACUUUAUCUUGUUGUCUUACAUACCCCAAUUAGUUUUGUAUCUAAUAUAAUUUAAUUAAGAAUAAAGGAAACAAGAGUAAUACUAUAUUUUUAUUUUGUAGAAAAGGAACUAAUUGGUUUUUUUCUUUAAAGCUUUAAUAACAAUUGGUUAAAUGCAAGAAAAAAUAAAUUAUUAAAGGCAUUAAUUGAUUUUUUCCUUGAAACUUUAGUAAGAAUUAGCUAAAUGUUUAAAAAAUUAUUCCAUAC